UACGGGGGGAGCAAGCGUUGUUCGGAUUUACUGGGCGUAAAGGGCGCGUAGGCGGUCGUGACAAGUCACUUGUGAAAUCUCUGGGCUUAGCUCAGAACGGUCAACUGAUACUGUCGGGCUAGAGUGCAGAAGGGGCAACUGGAAUUCUCGGUGUAGCGGUGAAAUGCGUAGAUAUCGAGAGGAACACCUGCGGCGAAGGCGGGUUGCUGGGCUGACACUGACGCUGAGGCGCGAAAGCUAGGGGAGCGAACGGG
rnacentral:rRNA from 1 species